CCAAGCUUGAAUUCGUAGUCAUAUGCUUGUCUCAAAGAUUAAGCCAUGCAUGUCUAAGUAUAAGCAACUAUACUGUGAAACUGCGAAUGGCUCAUUAAAUCAGUUAUCGUUUAUUUGAUAGUACCUUACUACAUGGAUAACCGUGGUAAUUCUAGAGCUAAUACAUGCUAAAAACCUCGACUUCGGAAGGGGUGUAUUUAUUAGAUAAAAAACCAAUGCCCUUCGGGGCUCCCUGGUGAUUCAUAAUAACUUAACGAAUCGCAUGGCCUUGUGCCGGCGAUGGUUCAUUCAAAUUUCUGCCCUAUCAACUUUCGAUGGUAGGAUAGUGGCCUACCAUGGUUUCAACGGGUAACGGGGAAUUAGGGUUCUAUUCCGGAGARGGAGCCUGAGAAACGGCUACUACAUCCAAGGAAGGCAGCAGGCGCGCAAAUUACCCAAUCCCGACACGGGGAGGUAGUGACCAUAAAUACUGAUACAGGGCUCUUUCGAGUCUUGUAAUUGGAAUGAGUACAAUUUAAAUACCUUAACGAGGAACAAUUGGAGGGCAAGUCUGGUGAACAUUCCAUUGCUGACGCCAGAAAUAAUGUUUAAUUAGUCGAUCUGUACAGUAAACUUGGGUGUACAGCGGCAAGACAACCUGGAUCGGGGAAGGCUAAGGGCGCAAGCCUAUGCUAAUCCCGAGCCGAGCUUCUGUAGAGCGAUCUAUGGCAAGCCGGUGUAGAGCGCGGAAAGGUGUCGGUCAUCCUGUUUUACAGGUGGCUUAAGGGACGUGCCAGUCCUACGCGAAAGCGUAGUUCGCAAUAGCAAGCCCCCAAGGGUGAACUUUGCGAGGAUACGAAAGUAUGGGUGAUAUACAAUAUCACAAUAACGGCCAGCAGCCGCGGUAAUUCCAGCUCCAAUAGCGUAUAUUAAAGUUGUUGCAGUUAAAAAGCUCGUAGUUGAACCUUGGGCCUGGUUGGCCGGUCCGCUGACCGCGUGCACUGGUCCGACCGGGUCUUUCCUUCUGGGGGAGCCGCAUGCC
rnacentral:rRNA from 1 species